CAGUAGCCGCGGUAAUACAGAGGGUGCGAGCGUUAAUCGGAUUUACUGGGCGUAAAGCGUGCGUAGGCGGUUUGUUGCGUCGGGAGUGAAAACCCAGGGCUUAACUUUGGGCUUGCUUUCGAUACGGGCAGACUUGAGGCAUUGAGGGGAGAACGGAAUUCCUGGUGUAGCGGUGAAAUGCGCAGAUAUCAGGAGGAACACCGGUGGCGAAGGCGGUUCUCUGGCAAUGUUCUGACGCUGAGGAGCGAAAGUGUGGGGAGCGAACAGGAUUAGAUACCCCAGUAGUCCCUGUCUCUUAUAA
rnacentral:rRNA from 1 species